GGCUGAAGCUGGAGAAUCAUUUGAACCUGGGAGGAGGAGGUUGCAGUGAGCCAAGAUUGCACCACUGCACCCCAGUCUGAGGGACAGCAAAACUCUGCAUCCAAAAACAAAAACAAAACAAAACAAAAAAACAACAAAAAAAAAAGGUGUAGCAAAAGCCCAAAGUUGAAUUAGCAGCCUUCUGAUCAUGGGAGUAUAGAAUGUCAGCUAAAAAGGACCUCCGCGGAUGGCAAGACAGAUGAAAACUGAGGCCCAGAAGUGUUUCAUGACUUGAUUAGAUCACUCAGGUGUGCACUGGGAAAUGAGUUAUCAUGAUGCCCCUAAUCUAUAUGAACCCAAUAAAGCCAACACACACACACCUUUUAAGGAUAAAACUAUAUUCCAUUAAAAUUAGCCCCACAUUUGUCAAUAUCCAACAGCAUUGGACUGACCCUCAGGCCAGAGGCUGUAGCUCUUGGAAGAUCCUAGCCAGGAGGCUCAAGAGUGGCCAGUACCUCAGAAGUGCUGGCUCACUCUGACAUCAGCAGAACCUGGCAUAUAGUAGGUGCUCACUGGAUAUUUGCUAUGGAAAUUUGGCAGGAAAGUGUGUCUAUGUCUGGAAACAAGGAGGCAGAGCCGAAGCAGAGAUUCCCAAGCAGAUUCUUUCUGCAAACUACAAAACAGAAGCUUCCCUAGCUCAGAAUGCCAUCCACCUGGCUCUUUCUGCAAUUGUUUUUCAGUGGAUCCUGUUACACUGCAAAGAAGAAAUGGCAAACUGGUAACAGCUGCUGUGCCUAAAAGAUGGUUCUACCCUGACGUUUCCUGGAAUAAUGCCGAGGACUGCCUGUCAGGGAGCCGCUUCAUUCAGUUCACUUCAUCUCGGAAGCACCUGACCCCUGCCUUGGAUCCAGCGGCCCUCCUGGGAGCUGAGGAAGGAGGAACUCCCAUGUGUCUGCUCCCGGAGCUGCCACAACCCUUUUUCCUGCAACUCGGAACCUGGAAAAAGGAACCCAGGACAUCACUUUGCUUUUGUUUUGGACCUAGUUGGUGAUUAUACUCUCUCUUCCAUGGAGACUACCCCUUGCAUCCUUCCUUCCAUAUGAGAUUUAGGAUAGAAAUUAAAAAGAAAACAUCUUAUUUUGAGUCUUGAUUUGGAGAAAGGUAGUAUUCGGGGAGAAGCAGGCUAUGAUACACACAGAAAAUUUGAGGACAGAGUUACUUAACAAGGACAUUUCUGUCUCUGCAGCAGUCACAGCUUGGAGGAAACCAGUUCGCACUAUUUGAUGAGGAACUGGGCCACCAAACCACUGAUACUUUCCCAAAGGUUUGGCAGAAAUUGUUUUUCGAGUGACUCACCAGAGUCCUAGAAGAAUCAGCAUGGAAUUAGAGGACAGUGACCUACCCUAACCAAAGACAUGAGCGAUGUGUGAAGUCUAGUGUCAAUUUAUUCAGAAAAUAUCAAAAUUAUUUUGGGAGCUAUGGGUCAGAGUUGAUAGGCACAAACAAAUACACAAACAAAAACAUAGGUACUUUAAAUUUACAGCUUGGAUAAGAAAAAGAGAGAUGUUGUCAUUUCUCUUCUUCAAUCCAACUUUAGAUUUGGAUUAAUUAGAAAAAUUUGGAAAAAGAUAAUUAGAAGUCAGAAAUUGUUAUUGCCAGAAAAGAGCCCUAAACCCUGAAACAAACAAACAAACAAACGAAAAACCGGGCCCUCCUCUUGGGGAGUGAUAAACCUCGAUUACUGUUGAUAGUAAAACUGAUAUCAACUCUUCCAGUGAAAACCAGUGAAAGGCGAACGUAAACCUUACCCUAGAUUAAGGUCUGAAAACUGUUUACAAUAUAUAUUUGAAAGUUCCAUUAUUUAAAAUAUGUAUUAGACAUGCUUUGUAAUGUUAAGUUACUUUAAAAAAUCUUACACAAGGGAGGGGAAGUAUGUAUUAUUCCUUCAUUUAAAAAGAGAUAAUGUGUGAAUAUUAGUUAAUGUUUAUCGUACAUUUACUACCUGUGUUGAGGCAUAGUGUGACACACUUUAUUUCAAUUAUUUAAUUUGAUUCUAACAACGAAUCCCCUGAGCUGGAUAAUAUCCUCUUCGUUUUACAGAUGAGACAAUUGAGCCUUGGAGGUUAAACAAACGAUUUCCUAAGCUCAUUCAGCCAAUAAGUGGUAGGGGACUGCUUGACACCGGUCCGAUUGAUCCUCAAAUCCAUGAUUUCUGCCAUCAUAUUCACAGAAACAAGACAAGAGCUGAAAUUAUAGUCUGACUCUUGAAACAGUCAAAGAAUUGUGUAUGUUUAUGAAAGUUCUGAUUAAUAAGAUAUUCUGAGGACAAAAGACAUGGAUAGAUGGGCAAUGUGUAGAUUAGAAUGUAUCACAAUGUCCACUAAAUAAUAAAACCAUAGAAAAUGAAAUGUAAUCCUUACUGUGUAGAAUAUUUAGAGUAGAUUGUUUUUUCCUGGGUAUCAGUCACUAUUACACUAUACAAGAAUGAAAUUAAACAAGAAACAGUUCCUUUGGUUAUUUUAUUUUUUUAAAGGUGGGAGUUAUAAAAACAGUAUUUGCCAUCUGGUUUUAAUUAUGGCUUUGGAAACUCUAUGGGUACAAUUUGUUGUCAUCGUUGUUGUUACCACUACCAAUACAGAGACUCUAAUUGUGACAUUAGUUUCUAAAUCAGAUAGUGAAUAAUUACGUUUUCAAUGUUGUCUUAACAUAGAUACAAGUUAACAGGAUAUGCUUCUGGUGUGUUUCUGGAUUCUAAGGGUAGAACCAACAUAAAACUAGUCAGUCCAAGUAUUUCUAAAGAUCCCCAGACACAGUUCUCCUGGAUUUGGGAAGCCUAGAGAUAUUAGCAGAAUAACUAUGGCCCAAGUGGGUAUAAAAUUUUGUCUGAAAUUAAAGAGAUAUUGAUUAGAUAAUCCCCAGAGACUGCUUUUUAGUGAUUAUCUUCCAGCAGGGUAAAACAACAGCAACCUGAAAACCCAAAAGACCAUAUGUUUUAAUGGCAAGUCCUUCCCAGGAAGAAUUAAUCAAUCUGAGAAUUCAUCUGUAAAUCCAGGAGGAAGAAAUCAAGAUGAAAACUGUCAUAUUGAUAAAUUUGAUGGUUGCAAUUUCAUCGUUUGACAUAGUGCAAUUGCUUGAGAUUUGAAAGGGAACUUACUUUUGAGUAAGUCACUUUAUCUGUUUAGAUUUGAAAGGCACUUUACUUUAGAGUCAGUCACUCAGUCUCUUUUUUGAAAAGGCAAAUGCCACACCUGACCCUCAUCAUUCCCUUCUCCUUUGUCCAUAGCCUGGCUUUAUUCUGCCAUUCACACACACACACACACACACACACACACACACACACACACACAUUGGGAAGAGAUGUCUCAUUUUACAGAAAGUAUGCCGGGCUACACAGGAUAUUCUAUCAGGUUUCUUCCAGCUAUAAAAUUCUGAUACUAUCAAAUUAAAGUACAAAUUAGAUGUACUACAAUUUGCUUCUAGUGAUACUCAUUGCUAAUUUCCUAUAUUCACUGGCAUAAAAAAAAUUCAAAGACCCCCUCAUAAAAGGCUAUACUGGUGGUACCAGGAAACACUGAAAAUCAUUACUCUCUGUGUUGUGUCCAGCUUUUUUGGCUACAUCAUCACUUCGACCAUUCACUUUUAAAGAAAAACUUCUGUGGAACAAAAAUGUAAAGAUUUUUCUUUUUUUCUUGGCGGCUUAGCUCAGUGGCCUAAUGUGGCUGACUAUGUGUGCCUGUUGUGUGAGUCACUUAGACGUGCUUUGUUUCUUGGUCACAGUUUAUCCCUCAACGCAAGCAUCUCACCCUCAAAAUGUGUGUUUGGGACCCAACUGCAAACCUGGAGAUGGGUUAUUUCUUUCACCUUGGAUUGGCUCAUCUGCUGUGAGUGGAGCCAAGCUGACACUUCCUUUCCUUUCUCUUCUUUCCUUCCUUUUUCUCUGCCUAUCACUAGGUAGAGGCGGCACAUAAGAGAGGGAAAGUCAUGCACGUGGAGUCCAGCAGAUCACCCAGAAGGCAGAUGUUCUAUCUCCAGUUUACUCAUUAAAACAAACAAAACCACACCUGGAUUGCCUGGUACUUAAAUAAAAUGCACUAUGAUGACUGAAGAAAAAU